GACGUAGGGCGCGAGCGUUGUCCGGAUUUAUUGGGCGUAAAGAGCUCGUAGGCGGCUUGUCGCGUCGUCUGUGAAAUCCCGCGGCUCAACUGCGGGCUGGCAGUCGAUACGGGCAGGCUGGAGUUCGGUAGGGGAGACUGGAAUUCCUGGUGUAGCGGUGAAAUGCGCAGAUAUCAGGAGGAACACCGGUGGCGAAGGCGGGUCUCCGGGCCGAUACUGACGCUGAGGAGCGAAAGCGUGGGGAGCGAACAGG
rnacentral:rRNA from 1 species